rnacentral:rRNA from 1 species
GACGAACGCUGGCGGCGUGCUUAACACAUGCAAGUCGAACGGAAAGGCCCUGCUUUUGUGGGGUGCUCGAGUGGCGAACGGGUGAGUAACACGUGAGUAACCUGCCCUUGACUUUGGGAUAACUUCAGGAAACUGGGGCUAAUACCGGAUAGGAGCUCCUGCUGCAUGGGGGGGGUUGGAAAGUUUCGGCGGUUGGGGAUGGACUCGCGGCUUAUCAGCUUGUUGGUGGGGUAGUGGCUUACCAAGGCUUUGACGGGUAGCCGGCCUGAGAGGGUGACCGGCCACAUUGGGACUGAGAUACGGCCCAGACUCCUACGGGAGGCAGAAGUGGGGAAUAUUGCACAAUGGGCGGAAGCCUGAUGCAGCAACGCCGCGUGCGGGAUGACGGCCUUCGGGUUGUAAACCGCUGUCGCCUGUGACGAAGCGUGAGUGACGGUAAUGGGUAAAGAAGCACCGGCUAACUACGUG